CAGGGAUUGACGGCUCAUGGCGAGGAUCGUUGUCCUGGGUGUUCUGUGUGCAGUGACAGAAUGCUUGGAAGUGACAACGUCCACCAAACAGUCUCUGGUGCUGGUGGGAGAAGACCUAUUACUCCAUUGUUAUUUCACCUUCCUGGAACCUAUCAGAGCUGAAGAUGUCGCUGUAAAGUGGACAUUGAGGCACCUUGGUGUAGUGAGACCAGUGUACACGUUUGACGGAUUUAAUACCAAUUCCCUGCGACCAGAAAGCUCCAUAGAUCGUCGACUCCUGGAGACUGGCAACGCCUCGUUAUACCUGCCCAACCUGACGCUGGAGGAUGAAGGCGAGUACACCUGUACUGUGCUAAUAUCUCCAGAGUUUGGAGAAGCUACUCUGGUCCUUAGACUCGCAGCACAGCCGUCCGUCACCCUGCUCCCACAGAACCCUCAAGUGACCACUGGGGAGAUGAAGACAUUUAUUUGUAAGCUCAGUCAUUUCUAUCCACAUGAUCUUGAUAUGAAAUGGAUAAUGAAGAAGGAGGAAAAAGAAAUUGUCCUGACAAAGGACAUCUGCACGGGUGUCCCUUUCCAGGGUGAGAAUGGAACCUUCAUGGCCGACAGUCAGGUGUCUAUUGUGUUUACUGAGGGAGAUGAUGGGAGUGUGAUCCUGUGUGAGGUCCAACACCAGUCACUGCCACAGCCGCUGAGGAGAGACACCACCAUUCACUUCACAGUUGUACAGGGCCCUGGCAGGGUGGCGCUCAUCGUCUGUUCACUGGUGAUGGUACUGGCGCUAAUAUUGGCAUCUGUGCUUUUAUACUGGAAAUUUCUGGCAUCAGUGCCUCCACGGGUGUCAGCGCUUAUUCUGCCAGAGCUGAACAUGGCAGGUGAGAAGAUGGUUGCCAUAUGUAACAUCAACGGCUUCAGACCCAAAGCAGUGGACAUUUGCUGGUACAUUGAAAAGAGCAGUCAAGGGGCAGGAAGCGGUCAUUAUGAAGGUGAACGUCUGCUGCAGCCCACUGAUAUCACCAGCCUCGCCAAGCAUCCAGUCAUCAAACAUGGCAGCGUGUUUAAUGCUACCUCCCAGUUGUCAUAUACCCCCUCAGUCCAGGAUGAUGGUGCAACCCUAGUAUGUGAGGUGCGGCACAAGGCACUGGGCGCUGUAACCAGACAGGAGAGCCAGAUAAAUGUAGCAGCACGCCCGAAGAAAAGUUACAUAACCAGCUGGCCGCAGGAUCCUCAGAGAGGAGACAAACUGACCCUCAGCUGUAUUGUGGAACGUUUCUAUCCAAAGCCAAUAACAGUAACGUGGUUGAGGAACGGCCAAGUGCAGAGCGGUGUCACACAGUUCGGCCCAUUCCCCUGUGAAAAUGAGUAUUACAGCAUAUGGAGCCAGACAGAACUGACCCUGACUGAGGAGGAGGACGGGUUAAUGUAUACCUGUCAGAUCAGUCACCUCAGCCUGCGGAGCAUAGAGGAGCUGUCCUACGAAAUCAAUGCACAAGGAACACCACCCGAGGUACAGUUUAUCACCGCUGAACCUGCGACACCUGUUAUUGGACAAGAAAUGGUCCUCAGCUGCAGCAUUAGUAAUUUCUUUCCCAGGGAUAUAACAGUGGACUGGUCUAAAGAUGGUGUCCGGCUGGACACAGGGGUCUGUCAUUCUCUGUGUAUUACGACCACCAAUGGCGUCCACUCAAUGUGGAGCUUCUUGAAGUAUACACCUGCAGCUGAGGAUGAUGGGAGUGUCUUCACAUGUUCAGUGCAACAUGCAGCCCUGAAGAACCACGAGGAACGGACUUACACCCUGAACAUCCCAACAGAGAAUAAAUUCAUGUAGAAACAUCAUUUUUCUUUUCAUUUUAGGC